rnacentral:misc_RNA from 1 species
GAUGAAGAACGCAGCGAAAUGCGAUAAGUAAUGUGAAUUGCAGAAUUCAGUGAAUCAUCGAAUCUUUGAACGCACAUUGCGCCCGCCAGUAUUCUGGCGGGCAUGCCUGUCCGAGCGUCAUUUCAACCCUCGAACCCCUCCGGGGGGUCGGCGUUGGGGACCUCGGGAGCCCCUAAGACGGGGUCCCGGCCCCGAAAUACAGUGGCGGUCUCGCCGCAGCCUCUCCUGCGCAGUAGUUUGCACAACUCGCACCGGGAGCGCGGCGCGUCCACGUCCGUAAAACACCCAACUUCUGAAAUGUUGACCUCGGAUCAGGUAGGAAUACCCGCUGAACUUAAGCAUAUCAAUAAGCGGAGGA